rnacentral:rRNA from 1 species
GAUGAACGCUGGCGGCGUGCUUAACACAUGCAAGUCGAACGAAGCACUUUGAUCGAUUUCUUCGGAUUGAGAUCUUAGUGACUGAGUGGCGGACGGGUGAGUAACGCGUGGGUAACCUGCCUCACACAGGGGGAUAACAGUUGGAAACGGCUGCUAAUACCGCAUAAGCGCACAGUUCCGCAUGGUACGGUGUGAAAAACUCCGGUGGUGUGAGAUGGACCCGCGUCUGAUUAGCUAGUUGGCAGGGCAGCGGCCUACCAAGGCGACGAUCAGUAGCCGACCUGAGAGGGUGACCGGCCACAUUGGGACUGAGACACGGCCCAAACUCCUACGGGAGGCAGCAGUGGGGAAUAUUGCACAAUGGGGGAAACCCUGAUGCAGCGACGCCGCGUGAGCGAAGAAGUAUUUCGGUAUGUAAAGCUCUAUCAGCAGGGAAGAAGAAAUGACGGUACCUGACUAAGAAGCACCGGCUAAAUACGUGCCAGCCGCCGCGGUAA